UGGGGAAUAUUGCGCAAUGGGCGAAAGCCUGAUGCAGCAACGCCGCGUGAGUGAUGAAGGUCUUCGGAUUGUAAAGCUCUGUCUUUUGGGACGAUAAUGACGGUACCAAAGGAGGAAGCCACGGCUAACUACGUGCCAGCAGCCGCGGUAAUACGUAGGUGGCGAGCGUUGUCUGGAUUUACUGGGCGUAAAGGGUGCGUAGGCGGAUGUUUAAGUGAGAUGUGAAAUACCCGGGCUUAACUUGGGUGCUGCAUUUCAAACUGGAUAUCUAGAGUGCAGGAGAGGAGAAUGGAAUUCCUAGUGUAGCGGUGAAAUGCGUAGAGAUUAGGAAGAACACCAGUGGCGAAGGCGAUUCUCUGGACUGUAACUGACGCUGAGGCACGAAAGCGUGGGUAGCAAACAGGAUUAGAUACCCUGGUAGUCCACGCCGUAAACGAUGAGUACUAGGUGUAGGAGGUAUCGACCCCUUCUGUGCCGCAGUAAACACAUUAAGUACUCCGCCUGGGAAGUACGAUCGCAAGAUUAAAACUCUAAAGUGAAUUGACGGGGGUCAUA
rnacentral:rRNA from 1 species